UGGGGAAUCUUGCACAAUGGGCGCAAGCCUGAUGCAGCAACGCCGCGUGGGGGAUGAAGGCUCUCGGGUCGUAAACCCCUUUCAGCAGGGACGAUAAUGACGGUACCUGCAGAAGAAGCCCCGGCCAACUACGUGCCAGCAGCCGCGGUAACACGUAGGGGGCAAGCGUUGUCCGGAUUUAUUGGGCGUAAAGAGCUCGUAGGCGGCUUGGUAAGUCAGGUGUGAAACCCCCGGGCUCAACCCGGGGACGCCACCUGAUACUGCUAUGGCUUGAGUCCGGUAGGGGAGCGUGGAAUUCCUGGUGUAGCGGUGAAAUGCGCAGAUAUCAGGAGGAACACCAGCGGCGAAGGCGGCGCUCUGGGCCGGAACUGACGCUGAGGAGCGAAAGCGUGGGGAGCAAACAG
rnacentral:rRNA from 1 species